ACUUGGUGGUUGUCACCACAGCAAGACCACCCGUUAGGGGACUGGAGCUCAGAGGGUCCCUGGAGAACAGGACCAACGGUGUCUUUUCAUCAAAGAACGGCAGAACAGCGUCUUUUCACCAAAGAACAAACGACUGGGAGGUGGAGGCAGAUGCUCUGCGUUGGUCUCAGUUACAGACUCGGAAGUUGAGGGCGACUUCGGAGUCACAGAUUUGGUUGUCACCAAAGUUCCUUGUCUCAGCGACGAGGGGCUGCCUUAGACGUCAGGAUGAGGAGACUUCAAGCUGGCUCAUUCUAUCCUGGUAGAAGGGAAAUCCAGGCAUCGGGUCCUGCAGUGGUCAGCGCUGGCUCCGUCCGACUCCGUGCGAAUCGCCUUGGGUUUGUCCCUUUUGUCGCCGAGGCUCUGGAGAUGCUCAGACCGUAAGUGCCAGACAAAUGUGAUCAAGCACUUUCUUCGCUGCAUAUACCCAGUGUUGUGGCUGGCACCACUGAUCACGGAAUCUUCUAAGUGCAGAGCUGAUGCCAGGCACCACUUGCAUCUCCAGAACUGAGUGCUAAGUAAUCAUAUUUUCUUUAUAAAGUUAGUUUGCCUGAAGAAUUACAUGGUUGACAAUAAAAAGCACAUUCAAACACCUUCU